ensembl:lncRNA
GGCGUUGCCGUGAGCUGUGGUAAAAGGUGCAGACGUGGCUUGGAUCCCAUGUUGCUGUGGCUCUGGCAUAGGCUUGGAAGCUACAGCUCCGAUUAGACCCCUAGCCUGGGAACCUCCAUGUGCCGUGAGUGCAGCCCUAGAGAAGGCAAAAAGACAAAAAAAAAAAAAAAAAAAAAAAAAAAAAAAAAAAAGAAAAGAAAAGAAAAUCCUACACAAAUGAUGCUCAGGGUGGUUAUCAUUGUGAGGGACUUACCCUUGACCCAGUCCUGCCACUGGGAGGACCCGGGAGGAGUGGCUUUGUGGACAGAGAGGUGGAGAACCAGGGAGGGCCCGCCCCUGACCACUCCUGGCUUUCCUAGGAAGGUCUCUGAGACCAGUGUCCUAGUUGGGGAGGUCAAGACUCCCGAUAAGGGAGGAGGAAGAACUGGAGGAUGUGAAAGGUGGAAGGGUCUGAGGCCCCUCGGGACCAGGGUAGUGCAAGAUGGGGCUGGGACUCUGACAGGUGAGCUGGGGUUGAGGCUGUAAAGCCGAGGUGAUCGUGGCUCUUGGCCACCCGAAUUUGUGUCCCUUCCUUGAAGACUUCACCCCAUCUCAGCGGUGCUCAGAGGAAAGCGAGGAAGAGUUUGGAGUGACAGAGAGGAGCAGGGCAGUCAAGGUCAUGGCUAUGGAAGUUGGAAGACCUGGUGAAAGCUGUUAAUGGGCAGAACUGGGGAUUCUUUCUUCCUGGGUUGUUCUGGGUGAUGCGGGUGAAGAAGCCGAGCGAGGUCGGUCUGAGAGUUAAGAACCCUCUUGACUCCUAGACACCUGCCGAUGUCAGGGGAGUGGACCACAUGCCACCUGGAGCCCAGCUCAGAUGGAUAAAGCUGGCCUAGAUUCCUAGAUUCCUUUCUCACACUAUAUCUCCAUCAGUCCACGUCUACCUCCAUCCCUUACUGCUCCCAUCACCAUAACAACCCACAUCCCAUAAUGAAGGGGUAGAAGGAUCACUGAAAGAGGUUGUGUAUUCCUGUGUGUAUAUGGUGUAUGUGUCUGUGGGGUCUUGUGUGUGCACCUCCAGGGGGUGGGUGAUAAAUUUCCAUGUGCUUUGGGGGACUCUCAUCUUCAGUGGCUCUGGGGAGCGCCGGUGCCUGGGGUGCCUGGGAGCUCCGCUCCCAGUGGGGCCAGGAGCUCUAACAAGCCACCUGCAUCCUCUCCAGCAUCUGGCAUCUUUGCAUCAAAAUCCAUUAAAUCCCAAUGCUCUGAACUCUCCCACAGCAAUGAAAGGAAACAAAGGACCACUCGAGCUAUUUAUCUGUUCCGAUGUGUUACGGACUGAACUGUGUCCCUCCUCCCCCAGAUUCACCUGCUAAAGUCCUAACCUCUAGGACCUCAGGCUGUGACUGUAUUUGGAGGGAGGGUCUUUACAGAGGUCAUUGCCAUGAGAUCACUGGGGUAGGCCCCAAUCCAAUGUGACUGGUGUCCUUUAUUUUGGUUUGUUUUUUGUUUUUUGGCUUUUUUAAGGCCGCACCCACGGCACACAGACGUUCCCAGGCUAGAGGUUGAAUCGGAGCUAUGGCUGUUGGCCACAGCCACAGCAACGCGGGAUCCCUGACCCACUGAGUGAAGCCAGGGAUCGAACCCACAUCCUCAUGGAUACCAGUUGGAUUCGUUUCCACUGCACCGCAACAGGAACUCCUGGUGUCCUUCUAAGAAGAGGAAGUUGGGACACAGACACACAGAGGGAAGGCCAGGUGAGGAUGCAGGGAGGAGCUGGCCACCUGCGAACCAAGGAGAGAGGCCUCGGGAGAAGCCAACCCCGCCCACACCUUGAUUUCCGACCUCUAGCCCCCAGGACCCUGAGGACAUAAAUGUCUGCUGUCUAAGCUGGGGCCAGGGGUCCUUUGUUGUGGUGCCACCAACAGUAAGAGGCUGCUGGGAGUUCCCGUGGUGGCUUGGCUGUAAUGAACCCAACUAGUAUCCAUGAGGACGUGGGUUCGAUCCCUGGCCUGGCUCAGUGGGUUAAGGAUCUGGCGUUGCUGUGGCUGUGGUGUAGGCUGGCAGCUGCAGCUCCGAUUCCACCCCUAGCCUGGAAACUUCCAUAUGCUGCAGGUGAGGCCCCACCCCACCUCCACUCCCCCCAAAAAAAGAAAGAGGAUGCCGGAGGGGUUGCAAGAGGGCCAGGUCUCCAUUUCCACCAUGAAGACACAGACCACGUUCUCGUGAAAACUCUCCAAGUCUUUUGAAAUCCCUUUACCUUUCCUUUCUUAAAAAUUUUUUUUAUUAUGAAAAUGACAUGUACUCUUUAAAGAAACAAUGGAAAAUAGAGGGGCUGGGAUAGGGGAGUCACCAGUAAUCUAUUGCUACCCGCUGUUAUCUUUGCCUUUCCCAUCCCUGUCCGGCCAUCCAUCUGCCAGUCACCCUUGGUGACUCAGCUUGGGUGCUGCUGCUUCCUGGAAGGCCUCCUUGGUUUCUCUCCCUGGACCACAUGCCCCUCCUAGCACCUGCGUUGAGCUCCUUCACCACUUUGGUAAUGGCCGCAUUAUUCCCCUCGUUCGCUCUGCUUUUCCGGCUGCCUCUUCAGCUGGGAGUUUGAGACACCAGUACCGGCGUCCAGCUUCCCUCCAGGAGGGCCUCCAAGGAGAGUAAAUCAAACUGAUGUUUUUAUUUUUGGCUGUGUGUGUGGACAGAGGUGGUUCUCUAAAACAUUCUUGGAUUGCUACUUAUGAUGCUGUCGAAAUCCACUUACUCACCUGUACUUCAGCGGCAACUGCUGGUGUGUGAUUAGUCUUUCAGGAACUGUAGGCUUCCCUUGAGGGUUCGAGCCUCUUCUUCACGGGCUCUCACUUCCUGACCCCAAACUCCUAUUCCAAUAAGAGACGGUGCUUUGGGGAACAGAUAACUGGCUAUUUGAAACGAGGCUGAGCAAAUCUGGAAUGUUUGGUGCCCAUACGUCUUGGUGUCCCUUCCGCCCAUGGGGGGAGACUUGAUGUUGGCUCCUAGUUGCAAAGCUCUUCGUGACAUGACCAAAGCGGUUUUUUAAAAUAUUUUCGUAUUAAAGUGUAGUUGAUUUACGAUGUGUCUUCAAUUUCGGUUGUAUAGCAAAGCGACCCAAGCAUACACAGUUCCCUGUGCUGUACAGUAGGACCCCCCUGCCCAUCCAUUCCAAACGCCAGAGUUUGCAUCCACCAACACCAAACACCCCAUCUCCAUCCCGCUCCCUCCGCCUUCCCCCAGCAACCACAGGUCUGCUUGCUUUGACCCACAUCUCUCUCCAUCUGCCCCUCCUUCCCCCUCCCUUCUCUCCCCCCCAUCACCCUCUACCACCAUCCCCCCCAUCUCUCUCCCCACCCCUCCACCUCCACCUCUGCUUCCCCUCCCUCUCUCUCUCUUAGCUGGAGCGUUCCUUCCUCUCCAUCUCCUUGGCCAGUCUCUCUUUUCCACAACUCUCGGUCAUGUGUCCUUGGCCUUGUAGGUCUAUAGCAUUGGGAGGCCUUUAGCGAUCAAUGGAUCCAUUCAACUAUCUCAUUUUUAUUUUUUAUUUUAUUUAUUUUAUUUUUGGUCUUUUUGCCUUUUCUAGGGCCGCUCCUGAGGCAUAUGGAGGUUCCCAGGCUAGGGGUCUAAUCAGAGCUAUAGCUGCUGGCCUACGCCAGGGCCACGGCAACUCGGGAUCUGAGCCGAGUCUGCGACCUACACCACAGCUCACAGCAAUGCCAGAUCCUUAACCCACUGAGCAAGGCCAGGGAUCGAACCAGCAACCUUGUGGUUCCUAGUCGGUUUCGUUAACCACUGAGCCACGAUGGGAACUCCUCGACUAUCUCAUUUUUAAAGGUUUGUUCCUUGUAUGGCUUUUUUAAAAACUGAGAUAAAAAAUACAAAACACUGGGGUUUCCACUAUGGUGCCAUGGGUAAACGAUUGACUGCAGCAGCUCAGACUGCUGCAGAGGCACAGUUUCGAUCCCUGGCCUGGGGCAGUGUGUUGAAGGAUCUGGCAUUGCUGCCGUUGUGGUGCGGGCACAACUGGGGCUCAGACUCAGUCCCUGGCCGGGGAACUUUCAUAUGCUGCAGGUGCAGCCAUUACAAAAAAAAAUGAUAGUAACAAAAUCUGUCGUCAUAACCCCUUUAAAGUGUACAGCUCAGUAGUGUUAAGUGUAUUACAUUGUUCUUUCACCCAUCCCAUUUUACAGAUGGGAAGCCUGAGGCUUGGAGGAAAUAGAACACAUCCAGGGACUUGGCGGAGCAAGGAUUCACACCCAGGCCCAUGGAUCAGCCUCUGGAUCCUGAAGGAGGGUAGGACAUGCCGAAGGGAAGUGGAGGAGAGCAUCGGGGGGGAGAGGCCCCGGUACGGGCAGGAGGUGUGGGUCGUAGUUAGACCGUGGUCCACGUGCUGCGCUCUCCUCCCUAACUGGGAAAGGUAUAAAUGAUCAAAUGAAACCUUGAGAACCUACUAAGUGAAAGAAUCCGGCGCAAAAGGCCACUUAUGGGACAGUUUCCUUUAUAAGAAAUACCUAGGAUAGGUAAAUCCAUGCGGACAGAAAGUGGGCUGGUGGUGACCAGGGGCUGGGAGAGACGAGAAGAGAGAAUCGCUGCUUAAAGGGUAAAGGAUUCUACUAUGGGAUGAUUCAGAGAUAUGGGAUCUAGACCGAGGUGGUGCUGGCAUAAUACUAUGAAGGCAUUAAAGUAUUGCCUCUGAAUUGUCCACUUAAAAACCGGGAACAUUUGGAGUUCCCAUUGUGGCUCAGUGGGUUAAGAACCUGACUAGUAUCCAUGAGGUUGUGGGUUCGAACCCUGGCCUUGCUCAGGGUUAAGGAUCCGGUGUUGCCACAAGCUGCGGUGUAGGUUGCAGGCACAGCUUGGAUCUGGCAUUGCUGUGGCUGUGGCAUAGGCCAGCAUCUGCUGCUCUGAUUCAACCCCUAGCCUGGGAACUUCCAUACUUCCAUAUGCUGUGCGUGCGGCCCUAAAAAUAAUCCAGACCAAAACCAAACAGGGAACUCUUUAAAGUUUCCAGUAUUGAUGCAGCUGUGGCUCAGAUUUGAUCCCUGGCCCCGGGAAC